CCCCCCACCGCGCCACAGAAGGACACACGUCACCAUCUCUGCAUGACCUUCGUAUCUUACAUCCUACUUUUAAGCAUGCUCAGGCUAGCAGCAGCCAGGCAGCGUCGGCAGAAACUUCCGAAAGAACUUCCUGAACUCCGUGUUAAAGACGGUGUAGAUGAUUGGGUUGAUGGCGCUGUUGACAUAACCCAACCAGGUCACGAUACUGGUGACGCUGCCAGGAAUUUCGCAGUCUUCGCAGAGAGCCCUCAUAGUGUGCACUACGAAGAAUGGUGUCCAGCAGAACAGGAAGGCACCUGGAGACGAAAGAAUAUCAGCUGACAUGGGCUGAAAGGGAUUGACGUGUGGUUAGCAAAGUACAAGCACGUCUGUGACACGUCUCACAAGAAGCCGUGAAGAGGAUCAGAGCUCGUCUUAACGUGACGCUGCCCUCGACUCAACUGAGGCUUACGUCAUAAUCCGAUUGGAGGAUUGGUGAGCGAUGAUUAGCCAAUGAGGGCCAAAGGAGUUCCUCGUUUCAGCACACGUAGGAACUGUUUGUAAUCACUCCUCUAAGCCCAGGUUAGGAGCGAGAGGCUUUUUUCACUUUGUUUUUUCACUCAGAAAACCUCCAGACAGACAUGAACAGAAAGCAGAGGUGUUUUUAUGGAUAAAUCAA
rnacentral:lncRNA from 1 species